UACGUAGGGGGCAAGCGUUGUCCGGAUUUAUUGGGCGUAAAGAGCGUGUAGGCGGCCUUACAGGUCAGCUGUGAAAACUCGAGGCUCAACCUCGAGACGUCGGUUGAAACCGUAAGGCUAGAGUCCGGAAGAGGAGAGUGGAAUUCCCGGUGUAGUGGUGAAAUGCGCAGAUAUCGGGAAGAACACCCGUGGCGAAGGCGGCUCUCUGGGACGGUACUGACGCUGAGACGCGAAAGCGUGGGGAGCGAACAGG
rnacentral:rRNA from 1 species